AUUGAACGCUGGCGGCAGGCCUAACACAUGCAAGUCGAGCGGAGCGGCGGACGGGUGAGUAAUGCCUAGGAAUCUGACUGGUAGUGGGGGAUAAAGUCAGGAAACGGGCGCUAAUACCGCAUAAUAUCAGAUGAGACUAGGUCGGAUUAGCUAGUUGGUGGGGUAAAGGCCUACCAGGGCGACGAUCCGUAACUGGUCUGAGAGGAUGAUCAGUAACACUGGAACGGAGACACGGUCCAGACUCCUACGGGAGGAAGCAGUGGGGAAUAGUGGACAAUGGGCGAAAGCCUGAUCCAGCCAUGCCGAGUGUGUGAAGAAGGUCUUCGGAUUGUAAAGCACUUUAAGUUGGGAGGCGUUACCAACAGAAUAAGCACCGGCUAACUUCGUGCCAGCAGCCGCGGUAAUAC
rnacentral:rRNA from 1 species